rnacentral:lncRNA from 1 species
GGGGCGGAAGACAAGACAAAAAUGACUCCAGUUCGCUAGACGCGCAGAGGGGCGGAUAGCGCGCGGACCCCGCCUUCCCCAACCGAGUGUGGGUUCCAGUCGCUGGGGAGGACCUGGUGGCCCCCUGACCUUGGACGAGCCAUAUUGGACGCCCCGGCGCCGUCCCGUCUUCCACGCUGCCAACUCCACCGCUCCCGCCCCGAACUGCGGCCUAGGAGCCACCGCAGCGCACCCAGCCCGCGAGUACAGCCGCAUGGGAAUAAUCCCAACAUUUGCCUGAUUUAUUUUCUUCCCUCUCCUUACGCUUGUACUUGUUUUUCUCCUCUCGCUGUUUUCCCUUCACACUAAUUCGCAACCUGGCAGUUUGCAAAGAGGAAACUCCCUUUCGGAAUGGAAAGCCGCUUUUGCUUCUUGUUGUUGGGGGUGGAAAACAUUCCAGCGAGAAUGAGUUCAAAAAGAAGGGAAACCGCGUCACUGGAGAGAAAGUAACAUUAAGAGAUCGAUGAGGACGGAGUGGGUAGGGGGGACAGAGAGAGGAACGUCUGCAACAGGCAUCUAAAAACAAGCGUGGAGGAGCAAAGAUUCCCAAUCCCCGGGUUACUACCGCGCGCGUUCUGCGCGAGCCAUUGCAAUGCCAGCAUUUACUGUAAGCAGAAUUUGAAGGCUUUUGAAAUCUUUUUUUGGUAAGACUUACCUUUCUCUUCGGCAUAAUGACUAUGUCGGUGAAGCAAAAAGUAAAGCAACGGACUGGAACUGCUGGCGCCGCCGCUGGAUGCUGCCUCUGCCUCUGCAGCUGCUCACGCGCAGGGCACGACGUAGCCCGGCCUCUUCGACCUGCACCUCCGCGGCUCCCUCUGGGGGCCCUCUGCUCGCCUCCCUGCUGCUCCAAUGAGGAGCCCCGCCAGCCGGCCGCGAGGCCCCAUUGGCUGAGGCAACGUUCUAAAUUCCACGAGGGCACGCCCACCUCCGCGCGCGGUACGCGCUGUUGUAGUUUCCACUUCACCGAAAAAAAUCUGCCUGGCGACUGAGCAUGCCCAGUUCAACUAGUAGCCUCCAGGCCACACAAUCCUGAAGUUUCAUUGUUUCGCUGCUCUCUCUUUGAGAUUGUAAGAAUAAGAACAGUGUGUGUCUUCAUAGGAAGGAAAAAGAGUAAGAAUGAAUACGUAAACUUUAUAAUGUAAAUAUAUACACAGCAGGUACCUUAUUCAUUUCCUACCCAUAAAGGCUUUUAAUGAAUGUUACAUGGUGGGAAUCUGUAAAGCGUGGGAAGGUACUCUGUACUGGAAGAGCGUGGCAACUUCUAAAGGCCUCAGUUUCCCCCCCUAGAUAUAUAGUGACAACAGUCCCUAAAAUCACUUAGCUCUAAUUUUCUGAAAUCUGUGAUUAUAAAUCACUCACUAAUUCAGCUAACUUCAAACUAGAUGUGAAGACGAAUAGGACAUGUUUGUUACGGAAAUUAGGAAAAGAAAGAACAAGGCAAAAACUGAUUAUUUUAUAUUUGAGACAUAUAUUUGAAUGACACCCGUCAUGUUACACUUUAUGCGUAAUAUUUCUCAAAGUUCUGCAAGGCAUAAAAUGAGCAUUGCAAAAAUAUUUCUGAAUUCAUUUUAUGAGACCAGAUUUACUCUGAUACCAAAACCAGUGAAAGACUUCAAAAGAGAGUUACAGACCAAUAUCACUCAUAAACAUAGACACAAAAGUCGUGAACAAAAUUUUAGUAAAUGAAACUCAACAACAUUUAAAGGGACAAUACAUCAUGACCUGUGGGGCUUAUCUUGGGAAUGCAAAGCUGCUUUUUUAAUAUCUGAGAAUCAAUCAAUGUAAUUGGCAGGAUUAAUAGAAUAAAGGGGGAAAAACAAUCCUUUCAGCAGAUGCAGGAAAAGCGCUAGUGAAUGGGUAAGCAAAUUGUGAUGAGCACAUGCAGUGGAAUACUAUUCAGCAAUAAAAAACAAUAAAAAAUUUUCCUACAUGGAUGAAUAUCAAAAACAAAGUGCUGUACGAAAGAAGUCAAAUACAAAAGACCACACUGAAUGAUUGCAUUCAUAUGAAAUUAUAGAAAAAGCAAAAUUGGGCAAAGUUAGUUUCAGAAUCAUCUUAGCAGGCAAAGCUCACAUCAUAGGAAAAUGUGUUGAAGCCUUACAUUACAAAUAUGGCCAAAUCCACUUUGGUAACACAGAGGCUGCAAAUAUGUAUUAAAAAUAUCAUGUAUUAAAUAUGUAUUAAAAAAGCAAUGAAGUUUAAUAUUUCACUUUUUCUUUAGUAAUUUUCAGAAUACAUUAAUUGAUCUAGUACUCUCCAGAGGUGGUUGAUUACUUUCUUUUUUGGAACAUCUUUAUGAACUCAUGGAUUUUUACAUAUUUGGUGUGCAUCAGUGUAUUGCUAUCAUUAUUAUUACCUUUUUAAUGCUCCUAUUACCACAUCUUUAGCCAAUGCAUACCCUUUCAAAUUAGUGCUUGUGUCCUUUUGACAUGAUCUUAAUCAUUUUUGAUAGAUUCCCUGUUCUUGGGCAUUCAGUGAAUGACAAUAGUAUACUGAAACGAAUUAAGAUAAAAACCAAUUGCUUAGAGCUAGAUAAAAAUUUACAAGUUAAUAAUUUUAUCAUUAAAAUAAUAUUUAUAAUGAAGAUGUCUUUCAAGAUAUUAAUUUGCCAAAUACUUGAUAGUUAAAUAAAGAAAAAGUCAGUGAAAACAUUUUUAGUAAGAUAUGUGUGAGAAGGAUACUGAGUAGCACUUGCAAUCUGGACUGGAUGGCUAUUUUUCUUCAUGGAGAUGGAAAGGUGCCACAACAAAGGUAGUGCUAAGGUGAAUAUUUCUCCUCUGUGAUGAAAAAUAACUCACAAAAUUGGCUUCUUUGUUAAUUUUUUUUCAAAACCAAACACUCAGAUCAUCAACAGCAAACAAAAUUGUGAAUGUUUUUACUGCACACAAUAAAAAUGCUACGAUGAAA